GUAAAGACAAAAAUUUUAAUAAAGCAACCAGAAGGUGCAAAUGAGGUUCAUGCUUUAUCCAAAAAUAGAUAGGCACAUGCACACAUUGGAGCAUAUACCAGGGCCGGAGCUAGAAAUUCAUUCUUAGGAGGCCAAAAAUAAAUACUAAAAAGAAAAUAAAUGAAAUCUUGAUAAAAAUAUUAGGACUAAAAUAAAAUAUAA
rnacentral:misc_RNA from 1 species